rnacentral:lncRNA from 1 species
AAAAGAUCGAAAACAAAAGGAUUUUUUUAUUCAUACUUAAAGAAUUACAAUUCCCGGAUUGUGUAUCGGUGUACAGAAUAAAAGUAUUAAAACCUAACUCUUCUAUGUCGUUUGCUAAAGCCUGGAAGUCGUUUGAUACCUCUUCACCGUGUACCCGAAAUCUUCUAUGCCGCUCGCUCAAGCCUGAACGUACUCAACCAAAGAGGCAAGGCGCCCAAGAGAGAACCUCGUCCGGCUCUUGCCUUGCAUGAAACCGCUCAAAGAACUUCACUGUGGAAUACUACCCCGUAGGACGAAGAGGCACUUGAAAGACGAGACGCGAGAACCUCGAAUUCCGCCCAUAGAAAUGAAGGAGGACUUCCUUGUUGUGUAACAGUAGUCCGACCCCAAUCACUCACCUGGUCACUUUCACUUGAGUCAUGUCCAUCGAACGACUGGAAGAGUGGAACGUACCCCAGAAAUUUCUACCGUGAGCUCUUCCGCCGUGAU